GACGUACGCUGGCGGCGUGCUUAACACAUGCAAGUCGAACGGAAAGGCCUCUUUCGGGGGGUACUCGAGUGGCGAACGGGUGAGUAACACGUGAGUAACCUGCCCUUGACUUUGGGAUAACUUCAGGAAACUGGGGCUAAUACCGGAUAGGAGCUCCUGCUGCAUGGUGGGGGUUGGAAAGUUUCGGCGGUUGGGGAUGGACUCGCGGCUUAUCAGCUUGUUGGUGGGGUAGUGGCUUACCAAGGCUUUGACGGGUAGCCGGCCUGAGAGGGUGACCGGCCACAUUGGGACUGAGAUACGGCCCAGACUCCUACGGGAGGCAGCAGUGGGGAAUAUUGCACAAUGGGUGGAAGCCUGAUGCAGCAACGCCGUGUGCGGGAUGACGGCCUUCGGGUUGUAAACCGCUUUCGCUCAUGACGAAGCUUUGUGUGACGGUAGUGGGUAAAGAAGCACCGGCUAACUACGUG
rnacentral:rRNA from 1 species